GCCUGGAUGCACAGGAUUUGUUUCUUCACUUCCUUGCUGACGGCACUUGGGUUGUUUCUGCUUUUGAUUUUUAUGAACAAAGCUGCUGUGGACAUUGUCGUACAAGCCACUUCGCAGGCAUAGGCCUUCUUGGGUGAGUUCCGAAGGUGGACCGCCUGGACCACGUGCCACGAUGAGUUGAACGCAAUAUGAGCGCUGGGCAGCCGAGUCAACACAGUUACAGGAUUUCGUGAGACUGACACAUACUGACAAUCUACUACUGGCACUGAAUCACUCAGAGGCCGUAACUGGAGGCCCCAGCAGCUGGGAAGGUGCUUUCUCCUGAUGGAACUUUGAGUUGAAAAACCCUCUCUUCAGCUGUGCCCUAUUGUUCAGAAAAUUCAAUGAGCUCUUCACUUCAGGUAAUUUACUUUGUCCCUUACUCCUGCC